rnacentral:lncRNA from 1 species
UUUUUUUUUGAGAGGAUAUUUGUAUAGAGAAAACUUUUCUCGCAGAUAUGUAUCAAGUUAGUGUCAUAUGGUUUCAUUUUUAUCUUUUCGUCAGCUUCUUCAUUAAUAAUUCGUUAAAUUAUAUACAAAAAACUACAUACACUCCAUCUAAGUUUAUCAAAUAUUCGCUUUAGUAUUCUUUAGUUUUAACUUUGUCACUAAUUUAACGAAAAAAAUUAGUGAAAUCCCUAAUAAAAAUAUAAAAAUAAAAUCAUAGGACACUAAAUUGAUACACUUUAAAUCACAUGAUAGUUGUGUGAGAAAAUAUGAAAUCAUAAGGGUGAUAUUUAAAGUUUUUUUUCCUUUUUUUUUUAGGUGAUG